GACGAACGCUGGCGGCGUGCUUAACACAUGCAAGUCGAACGGAAAGGCCCUGCUUUUGUGGGGUGCUCGAGUGGCGAACGGGUGAGUAACACGUGAGUAACCUGCCCUUGACUUUGGGAUAACUUCAGGAAACUGGGGCUAAUACCGGAUAGGAGCUCCUGCUGCACGGUGGGGGUUGGAAAGUUUCGGCGGUUGGGGAUGGUCUGGCGGCUUACGGGCUUGUUGGUGGGGUAGGGGCUGCCCAAGGCUUUGAGGGGUAGGCGGCCUGGGAGGGGAACCGGCACCCUGGGACCGAGGGGAGGCACCAGUAGGUAAUGGGCGGCAGUGGGGGGAAUCUUGACGGAGGGGCGGAAGCCUGAUGCAGCAACGCCGCGGGCGGGAUGACGGCCUUCGUGUUGUAAACCGCUUUCGCCUGUGACGAAGCGUGAGUGACGGUAAUGGGUAAAGAAGCACCGGCUAACUACGUG
rnacentral:rRNA from 1 species